CCCUGGCAAUAGCUACAAGUGUGGUUUGCCCAAUAGUGAUAGCUCGAAGGAUAUAAUUUUCAGAGUAUUCGUCCUGUUUCUCCAUUAGCCUGCAAAGACCCACAAAUUUCUAGCUCCUGCACAGCAGCAUGGUUUUUCACAUGCUUUGCCCAUAGGGCCUCAAUCUCCUCUUUUAAAAAGCAACAUUAUGACUACAAAUGAGCUUUGACCUGAGACCAUCAGUCUGGGAAUAUCUCUAGAACUCACCUGGACAGAGCUUUCUGCUUCCAGGGAGAAAAACAAAAACAAACCCAAAAAACAGUGAAUAAGGAAAUACACAAGAAACAGAAAACUGGGGUUCUAUGCUGACUCUGCAAUUAUAUUCCUAUGUGACCUUGGGCAAUCACUUUAUUUCUCAGUUCCUUUAUUAAAUGAGGGGUUGGGACAGACAAAAUCUAAAAUUCUUUCCAGCUCUAAUGGUUUGUGAGUCCAAAAAUAAGCUGACAAGAGGGUAUGGGAAAAUUUUUGUUUGAUUUAAAAAUAAAAGUGAGAAAUAAAGAGAUUGUCCUUUGGGACUUUUCAUGCUUCUAAUCUGUUUUGUGUAUGUAAAUGUCAUGUCAGUCCCUUACUCAAAAAUUUUAAAUGAAAAAAAAAUUUUUUUUAA